CAAUAGACUGCCCGGAGCUUUAGACCUGCACCACACCUUACUGCAAAUGCCACCAUUGGGAAACAG
rnacentral:ribozyme from 1 species